rnacentral:rRNA from 1 species
GACGAACGCUGGCGGCGUGCCUAAUACAUGCAAGUUGAGCGAUGAAGAUUGGUGCUUGCACCAAUUUGAAGAGCAGCGAACGGGUGAGUAACGCGUGGGGAAUCUGCCUUUGAGCGGGGGACAACAUUUGGAAACGAAUGCUAAUACCGCAUAACAACUUUAAACAUAAGUUUUAAGUUUGAAAGAUGCAAUUGCAUCACUCAAAGAUGAUCCCGCGUUGUAUUAGCUAGUUGGUGAGGUAAAGGCUCACCAAGGCGAUGAUACAUAGCCGACCUGAGAGGGUGAUCGGCCACAUUGGGACUGAGACACGGCCCAAACUCCUACGGGAGGCGGCAGUAGGGAAUCUUCGGCAAUGGACGAAAGUCUGACCGAGCAACGCCGCGUGAGUGAAGAAGGGUUUCGGAUCGUAAAACUCUGUUGGUAGAGAAGAACGUUGGUGAGAGUGGAAAGCUCAUCAAGUGACGGUAACUACCCAGAAAGGGACGGCUAACUACGUG